UGGGCGGUGGAGGUUACCGCGGGCCAUCCGCCCGGGAGGGCCGGCUCUGAGGUCCGCGAGCGGGAACAGGGGGCCGGUGUCCGCCCUGCGGAGACCCGGCGGCCGUGUUCCGAGGCCCCACGGGCGCUAUCAGAGGCGGCGGCCUGCGGUGGCGCGGGGGGCUUUUAGGAAGAAUUUGAGAAUUCUUCUUAAAUUUAGGAAGCAGCCGCUGCGCCUUAAAUCUCGGAGCUGCUCUCCUCCGCGGCCUCUGGCCGCCCGGCUGGCCUCGUGACGUUCCGGCCUCGGGUCCAUCGACCGCCUGUCAGCUCCAAGCUGAGCAAGGCCACCUCGAUUUUCCGAAGUCGCACCGACCCCGGGCAGGGGAGGCCUGGGGCGAGGGCCACUGGCGCGUCCAUGGUACAGAGAGAGCCGCAGGAACGGAGGGGCCGGGGGGCCAGUUGGACUUCCUGCUCACCGAGUCCCGAGGUCAGAGCGGGGAACGACGCCAGGGAACAGCCAGACACCGAUGGGAGAACUGGGAGAGCACGUUGUCCAAGGUCACUGAGUUUGCUGGCAAGGAGCAAACCCUACCAUGUAGUUCUUGUGGAAAAGAAAAGGAGCCAAGGUUUCUAUUGAUGCUUUAAGAAUAUUUAGAAAUGAAUGGCGCCAAAAGAUUGCAGCGUAGAGCGGCUGAAGAGCUGUGAACAAUGGUUAACAGCUAAUCAUUUCAAAGGCCUGUAACUUCCAUUCCCAAUGAGGCACAUGCUACAAUUUCCCAACCUACUGAGCUUCCCCCCUGUUCUUUUAUGCAGAGUCUAUGUUUGUGGCUCUUCAUUAUUUUUUCUUCCCUUGUAGCAGGCAAUCUGAUGUUAAAUGGAUACAGGAAGGAAGGCAGAGGUAUAUUUUUUUCAAAGUUUGUCACAUUUAUAGGAGAAGUUGCUAUGUUACUUUUUUUUUUUUUAAUGGAGAAUAAUUGCUUUGCAAUACUGUGCUGGUUUGUGCCAUACAUCACCAUGAAUCAGCCAUAGGUGUACAUGCACCCGCUCCAACCUCAACCUCCCACCCCAUCCCAGCCCUCUAGGUUGGCACGGAGCGCUGGGUUGAGCUCCCGGUGUCACACAGCCAAUUCCCACUUCUUGAUUGAAGAAGAGAGUUGAACGUUUGAUAUUUCUCCUUAGGAAAAAGUUUUUGCUGUGGCUUGAGGCCCCAGUCCCCCCCUACCCUGGCGAGUGGCUUUCCUCCAGAGAUGCUCAGGACCUAGUCUGUGGGACUUGAGAAUGUGUUCUCAGCAAGGGGAACUUUACUGAUGUGAUCACGUUAAGAAUCUUAAAGAGAUUAUUCUGGAUUAGCCACGUGGGCCCAAUGUAAUCGGAAUAGGCCCAACAAGAAGCGGGGCAAGCGUGUCAGAGUCAGAAGGUGUCAGUGGAAGCAGAGCUUGGAGCCAAAGCGGGGUGAGGAAGACUCAGCUCAACAGUGAUGGCUUUGAAGACGGAGGAAGGGACACGAGUCACAAAGCAGGAGUCCUCCAGAAGACAGACAAGAGCAGGAAACGGGUUCUCCCUUAGCGCUUCGAGAAGGAACACAAUCCUGCUGACACCUUGAUUUUAACCUCAGUGAGACCGAUUUUGGACUUCGGGCCUUCAGAACUGUAAGAUAAAUGCCAAGCCACCACAUUUGUAGUAAUCUGUUGCAGCAGCCAUAGGAAACUAAUCCCCCUCCCCUCCCCCCAAAGAGGAAAAGAAUCCCUGCCACAGACCCAUGUUAAUGGAAGAAGGGGGUUCAUCGGAGACGGGGACUGGGCUAGCUAUGGUGUGGACAGCGCUCGUGCCGCUGGGGGAGGAAUGUUAGCGGUCAGCCAGACGCCCGUGUGUUGUCAUUCCAGAAAGCGUGGAAGGCGGCACCACGGGGUAUAUGCGGUAGCACUUGCACGCAGUUUUAUGUUUUGACUAUGUGUAUAGCCAUUUUUAUUUCCCCUGCUGGACUGGAAGAGUCCCAGAUGGCAUUCAUUUUUAUACCCCGGUUGUUCCCAGCGCCUUGUGUGAACGUGUGAGGCAUUUCAUACUUCCCGAAGCCCGGGUGUGGCCCGUAUCCACUUUGAGUCUCACCACAACUCUCCCAGGGUCAGGCAAGACGGGUUGUAGUAUCGCUAGACGUUUUCGUUUUACGAAGGACUAGCACCCAGGUUUCUCUGCACCCAGGCCCUUUUCUCUCCAGCGUUCCGACCAUCGUAUCUGCAAAGUGAACGCAGGAGCACAGGUGAGGAAGUUGAGGCGCUUUCAGAGGCCCAAGGGUCCUGGUGGUGGGUGGGCUCUAAGCAGGGGGUGGGGGGGAACCCACAGCAGACAAUCUGGUUUUUCAAGAGCAGAGAAGGAUGUGGAUGAGAAGAGGGAGAGGCCCCCUCUUGUUCUGGCUCCAGGCGAGGCUUCCUGUCAGGGGUGCCCACCCUGAACCCCCGCCUGUUCACCAGCUUUCCUAAGGAAGUGUUUCUGUGGAGGUUCGGAGGUGCAAGGGUCAUGCCUGCGGGUGGGGCUUCAGGACUGAGGGCCGUCGGAGGAGAAUGGUAUCUAUCACUCUUUUACAUUUUAAAAAUUCUCCGAAUCCCAUCAACAUCCUCACAGUCCAGCCUCUGGAAUUAGAGAUCAUUUCAAGUCACAGGUCCCCACUCAGCCCUGGUAUAACCUUGGCAGGCGUGGAUGGAUCCCACUUCAUCUGCAAAACUCGGGUAACACCGACCCUGUGUGUUGUUGGAAAGACAAAAAAAUAAUGUAUGGAAGAUAAGAAGCAUUCCCAUGAUAGCUAUAUUACGGAUAAUCAAGAAAAUGGGGGAGAUUGUAUUUCUCAAGGUUGGGCAGCUGGUAAAUAAAUGGUGACACCAAGACCCCAUCCUCGACCCAAGCCUUCAACUUAUCCAAAGGCCCUUCACUCCCCCAGAACAUUCUGUGGCCAUACGCCGGCCCUCCCAGGCAAAGCUUCCCCACCCGGUUCACGCAGAGAGCAGCAGGGGCCGCUUCUGACUCGGCCCCGACCCAGGACUUGCUGGAAGCCCGCGCGCUGCACAGCUGCACACAUCUGGAACCUCGCCGGCUGGUGCCCCGAGGGGCGCGCCGGGACCUCCAAAACCUGUGCGCCCGGAGACAUCAGGGCGGCCACAGGCCUCCCCUCCGCCCCGCCGCGGCCCUUCGGCUCCCGCCCGCGCACCCAGGAGCGCUGAGCCCAAUGUCAGGGUGGACCCCUGGGCGCCAGGCACCGGCUCGGUGGGGCAGCCCCCGCGCGCGUCCCUGUAGGGAGCGGCGGCGCGCGCAGGGAGCCCCGGGCGCGCACACGCCCGCAAACCCCAACCGUAUGCUGCAGACCAGACAGGCUGUUUCACAGCUGGGAGACCCCAGGGCAGGGAAAGGCCUGAGGCUCUGGGCCCCUGUCCCCAGCUAGGAUCCAACAAACCUCUAAGUUCCUUCUCCUUUUCCUCCGGCGGCAGGGGGCCAGGUUUCCACCCUCUGACAUUCCCGGACCCGAUGGCCUCGGUUUCUCUGAGAGUUAGAGUCCCUACUGCCCGGAGAGGGGCUGACAGCAAGUGACAAGGACGCAGGUUCCCCUUACUGCAGAAGAAGCGAUGUGAGUGGCCACGUGGCCUCCUUAGAUGCUUCCCUUCUAGAUGGAAGGAAGGUGGGCACUCCUGGCCCUAGAGCAGUGAUUCCCAAAGUCUUAUCCGCAGACUGGCAGCAGGAAUGUCAUCUAGGAACUUGUCAAAAGGGCACAUGGUCCCAGACCUACUGAAUCAGAUACUCUGAAGGUGGAGGCCAGCAAGCUUAGUUUUAAGGGGCUCUCCAGCCCUUUCUGUGAUGCACUCUGGAAUCUGGAGAACCAGAAAAGCCUCCCUAUAGGCUAGAGACAGGCCCUGCCUCCCAAAGGCUGACUGAUGACUUAGGGGCCAAAGAAGGCGAGAAGUGAACUGGGAGGUUCAGUGGUUAGCUGCAGUUGUGAAAGGCCAUUCCUCAGUCUUAACUCUGUGUGUGUGUGUGUGUGUGUGUGUGUGUGUGUGUGUGUGUGCGCCCAUAAAACACUGGAAGGAGUGGAGACUUUAGGAACCCACACAAAACUGUACUUACAAACUCACUGAAC